UUCUGUAUAGAUGCUGCAAAUGUUUUAUCUUUAACGGCGUUUGCUGAUGGAAAUGCCGCGGUUUAUUAACUUUUAACCUGUCCAUUAACCCCGCUCAACUUUUAGCAGAAAUCCCUAACUCCCUUCUUCCAAUCUGCCCUCUGACAACUUCGUGUUCUGUUCGUCAGCCUCUCCCUCCGUCGACCGCUCCCUCUGUCGACGUUUCCUUCCGUCGAACGCUCCCUCCAUUGCUCACUCCAUGGAUUGGUGUGUUCAGUCGAUUAAUCAGUCGCUGUCAUCUCCACUGUUUCAGGAGGAUUGACGGCAUCCACGUUCUUCAGAGCAUGUUUCUCAUAUGGAGAAGAUCCAAGCCAAGACAAAUAAGGUAAAUCUCCACAACCCAUUAUAGUUUAGAAAGUCAUGACCAUGUUGAAGCGUUUUGAGUUCCUUAAAUUUCAAUGUCGUGCAUUUUUGCAUAGUAAUGAAAUACAUGCCUUGGUAGUGUUUGGGUCUUGUGCGUACCAAAUAGUAUAUACUUGGCAGAAAAAGCCAUGUGUAAAGGUAACAAAUGGGUUAUAUCAUUAUAUCUUAAAAUUUUAGGGAAGAGUGAAUGAUUAAUAUUUGAUUGAUUGAAGAAGAAAUUAACGUAAAAGUGAUUGAAUGAAGUACAAAGUAUGCUAUUGCCUUCAA